rnacentral:lncRNA from 1 species
UCAGCUACGUUAUGGCAAAUGCAAUCUGCCCUGUUACCAUUGUCAAGGAUCAUAGUGCUUGAUUAAGAAUGUGUACCUCUAAAACGAGCUUGAUGAGGGAGAUAAAUGGAUGUUGUACUGCUUGUUGCUAAAUGUUAAUGAUCUUGAAUUAUGUGCCUCCCAAUUUGCAUGUAUCCAAUAAUUUAAUCUUUGUUUGUAUGAAACUACUCUUGUUGUAUCAGUUUGAAUAAUGAACUUGAAUUAUGUGCCUCCCAAUUUGCAUUUUCUUUUAGUUGAAUUGAUAAAAAAUCUUCUUGAUAUCUGUACAAGUUCAAAAUUCUAAAAUUCUAAAAUUCUAAAAACCUAAUAUUCCUUUUUCUCCCAACUUUUUUUUCCUCCAACUAUGUGGCACUCAAUAUUGCACACUACCUUAGGAUUGAAAACCAAAAAAUCAUAUCGUUAAACCUCGUGUGAUGGCGUCAUUUUACUUAGAGAAACAAGUAGGAGAAUUAUACUACAUGACCUCGCUUAAUGAGCGAUAAAUCUUCUGGUGUCAAACCUAAACCUUGCAUAAAUAUAUAUAGGGUAAAAGACUGUUUACUACCCUCAUGUUUCGUGGUUUUCAACAUUUAGUACAUCAUGUUUUUUUCGUCUCAGAGUCAUACCUAAAGUGUAAAUUUUGGGACAGUCUCAUACAUCCGUUAGUCAAACUGUUAAGUUUUUCGUUAACUGUGACGUGGCGCACUGACUGGGCGCCACGUGUCAUCCACGUUUUUUUUUCUUUUUUUUUUCUUUUCUUUUCUUCUUCUUCCUUCUUCUUCUUCUUCUUCCUCCGACUGCAACUUUCUGUUUUUUUUUUUUUUUUUUGCUUCUUCCUUUCCCUUUCUUCCCCUUCUUCCUUCUUCUUCCUUCUUCUUCCUCCGAAAUCUGGGGAAUGUUUUUUUUUUUUCUUUCUUCUUCUUCCUCCUUCUUCCUUCCCCUUCUUCCUUCUUCUUCCUUCUCCUUCUUCUUCUUCUUCUUCUUCCUCCGAAAUCUGGGGAAGUUUGUUUUUUUUUUUUUUUCUUUCUUUCUUCUUCUUCCUCCUUCUUCUUCUUCUUCUUCCUCAAAAAAAAAAAAAAAAACACUUUUAUCUUUUCUUCCUCUUCUUCUUCUUCUUCUUUCUCUUUCCUCCUUUCUUCUUCUUCUUCUUCUUCCUCCGAAUCUGCCCACAUUCAAUUUUUUUUUUCCUUCCUCCUUCUUCUCCUUCUUCCUUCCCCUUCUUCGUUCUUCUUCUUCUUCCUCCGAAUUUGGGGGAAGAUGAAAGUGUUUUUUUUUUUUUUUUUUUUUUGAGGAAGAAGAAGAAGAAGAAGAAGAAAGAAAAAAAAAAAAAUAUUCCCCAGAUUUCGGAGGAAGAAGAAGGAAGGAAGAAGAAGAAAGAAAAAAAAAAAUAUUCCCCAGAUUUCGGAGGAAGAAGAAGGAAGGAGGAAGGAAGGAGGAAGCAAAAAAAAAAAAAAAAAAAGCAGAAAGUUGCAGUCGGAGGAAGAGGAAGAAGAAGGAAGAAGAAGAAAAGAAAAGAAAAAAAAAAAAAAAAAAAAAACGUGGAUGACACGUGGCGCCCAAUUAGUGCGCCACGUCACAGUUAACGAAAAACUUAACAGUUUGACUACCGGAUGUAUGAGACUGUCCCAAAAUUUACACUUUAAGUAUGACUCUGAAACGAAAAAAACUUGAUGUACUAAAUGUUGAAAACCACGAAACAUUAGGGUAGUAAACACUCUUUUACCCAUAUAUAUAUGUUCGACCUUAUAGUCGACCUAAGCAUUCGGGGUACUUUCACAGGCCAAAGGGUUAUACUAGGUGUUAACUUGACAAACUUAAGAGUUGUUUCAAACAUUUGCCUUAAAAAGCCUGGUCUCGACUUACAGUGAACUGGUGAUUAGCUUCUUAUAAUCUAAAUAUAUGAUGUUAUAUUCUCAUCUCAACAAGUCGUUGUAGUAUAGUGGUAAGUAUUCCCGCCUGUCACGCGGGUGACCCGGGUUCGAUCCCCGGCAACGGCGUAAUGUUUUGCUUUUCCAAACAUAUUUUUUUUUCUUUCACACCUUUCAAACUCUCACUAGUCUCUUGCUUCUUCCCCUUCCUCUCAGUUCCUUGCCUGUAAAAACACGUUACCCAUAAAAACACACACGCAAACCCUUGAUUCCAAAUUUCAAGCUUGAAAGCCACUCCACUACUAUCACCGUACAAAGCAAAAAAACACACUCCCAUUAAAUCACAAAAAAAUAAAUGUUUUUUUCCGUUUUCUUUUCCACCACCUACACCGCCACCAAAACCAAGAAACCGGAAAUGUCCGCUGCGUCACGGUGCCUUCCAAUAUCCACCACUCGAAUCCACAUAAUGGCCUUAGACGGAAUCGUCAACGUCAACUCACUCUUCUCUUUCGCGCUCUUCGUCGGCCUCACGUUUUACCCCACCACCGAUCCCGCCGCCAUGCUCAUUGGCUCCGACACGGCCUGCGCCGCUGGGGUCUCCUCCGCAGAGGGCCUCAUCGCCUUCCACGUGUACUCCUUCAGCUCCUUCCUCUUCUCCAGCCUCGUUGCCUUGGCCCUCAAGCAAGCCAUCAAGAUCAGCAGAGACAUUGUGGUUCAAAAUGGCGGUGACUCCGGUUCACACGUGGGUCAUGUGAACCGGGUAGCUUUGCGGGUCGGGACGCUGGUUUCGGCUUUCGGGUCUGUUUUGGGAUGUGGGUUUUUGAUGAUGGCGCUGGUGGACUUGGUUCAGAUCAAAUUGGGGAGAUUGGGUUGUGGGAGUCUCUACACUUUGGCUGCAAUUGGUCCUCUGGUGACUUUGGUUCCUCUAGCUCUUGUUAUCUAUGUUUUUCUUGUGCUACAUGCUUUUACUAGAUAGAAACGUAUGAUUAAUCAAACGAAAUGUUAAAUUUGUGCAUCUUCUUUGCAUCUUUAAUAUAAAUUAUAUUUACAUAAAUUCAGUAUAUAGGAUGUCGUCUUGUCUGAAUAAAUUUCACUUGCCCUUAAUAGAGAUGGUUAAUGGAUGCUCAUGGAUACUCUAUAUAUCACCAUCAUUACCAUUACAAGUACAAACAUCACCACUCAUCACCACAGACAGCACAUAUCCACACUCAAAUGGAUCUCCAUUUAAUUAAAUUGGUACCCAUUAACCAUCUUGAUCGAUGAUGUUAAGCUUUGAUAAAUUGAUAGGUUUGAUUAUUUAUGGUGUAGAAUCUUCCUUUAGAGCUUCGAUUUUAGGCUCUAAGUACUAAGUUGUGAGCAAAUUCGAGAUUAGAAUACUGAAGUUUAAGUCUAAUUUAAAUGGUCAUUUUAGGGUUGAUUAUUUAGGUUUUGAUUGUUUAGAUGCUUGAUCAUUAUCUAGGUUUUAAUUGAGUUGAUUUGAUGCAAGUUAGAGUAGAUGUCAUGCUUAAGAACUCCUAUUUGUAAAUGUAAGGUUUGUCUGAUUUUUCAACGAUUUCCAUAGCAUUUAAUGAGUUUUUACUUGUUUAAAUACAUCUAUAGGCAUAGAGAGAACGUGCAAAUAGAUUGCCAUGCUCAUUGAAUAAUUUAGAGAAAAUCAAUCAUCAGUCUUGGAGAAUUACUUAUUCAUAACAUUAAGGAGAUUAAGUAGAAUUGUUUAGGUCCUGUUUUCUUAUGUUGUCAAUCUUAUAUUCCGUGCGUUUUAUUUCACGUUGUAUUUAAUUUCAUUUUAAUUCAAAAUCUCAUAUCUUUACAGUAGAAGUCUCAAUUAUAAUUUGUUUCAAUUUAGUCAUAAAGAUUCUUAAAAUAAUUUGAUUUCUAUAGGACAAUAUUCGUGCUCAUUUGCUAUACUAUCAUUUGAUUCGUAUACUUAUAAGUACUAAAAUUUGAGAUUUAAUGAGGUUAAUUUUGGUUAUUUAAUUUUUACAACAUUUUGUGUGAAAAUAAAGUUUUCUCAACGUGUCUGUACGUUCACGUUGUCCAAAAUUUAACUGUUAAUUUGGAAGUACAAAGUACAUACGAGUUGUGUUUAAAUGAAUUUACUUCUGACUGAAAUUUUUGUAAGUAGGCUAAUAUUAAUUUAUGAAAUCAAAGGAUGUUGCUUGUUUUACAAGGUUCGUUAAUUCUUCAUAAACAAUCUAUCGAGAAUUCGAGAUCGCCAAUUUUUCUCUUGAACUUGUUCUUUGUAGAUCCCCCAUGUGCAAGUACCAUUUGAAUCAGAAACCAAGUCUGAUUUCAUCACUUUCCAAAUUUUGGUAUAGUUGUUUUUCUUGCAUACUUCUUCCAUGGAAAAGGAUUCAGUUACUCUGCUCAAUUUUCUCCGUCUUUGCCGCGUCGUUUCGGUGUUUUGUGUCUGCUCAUUCAUCUCAUUCAUUUACUGGUACAAUUACCAUAUAUAGUCCAUGCUACCAAAUCAACAACCUACUUGCAUUCCCUUCAGCAUAGGGAUGGGCAAAAUACCCAUGGGUAUGGGUAACCGCGGUUACCCACCCAUUUAAAGUUGAUGGUUAUGGUUAUGGGUAACCGUUUAAACAAAUAAACGGUUAUGGGUAUAACCGUUUAUCCAUGAAAUUUAAAUGGACGGUUAUGGGUAUUAUCCGCGGUUAUAACGGGUAUCCAUCGGUUAUGGUUAAUAUUCAUGGUUAUAACGGGUAUCCAUUUACCUAUUUAAUUUAAUAUAUGUAAAAUUAAAAAAUAAAAUAAAAACCCUCAGAGUUACAAUGAUAUAGCAGUCGUUGGAUUGAUUUGGAGCCUCUGGUUUGGUCCAAGUUUCCACCUUUAGUUGCAUGUUCUAUUACUUUUGAAUAGAACCCAUCAUUUAUGAUUAUUAAUUAAUUAUCCCUUAAUUGUUGAUUUGGUUUUGUUUCUUGUAAUCGUUGAUUUCAUUUUGUUGCGUUUGAUUGGAGCUUUCAUCAUUUGGGACACGAAAAAUUCAACAUAAAAAUUCAUCAUUUGCGUUUGAUUAACUAUCGUUAAAAAAAUAAUGUAGACGUGAGAAAAAAAAGGGUAAAUGGGUAAAAAAAAGGAUAAACGGGCGAAAAAUAUGGGUAAACAGGUAAAUGGUUAUGGUUAUGGUUAAAUGGAUAAAUGGUUCUGGGUAAAUGGGUACACGGUUAUGGGUAUGAAUAACCGUUUAUAAACGGUUAUGGUUAUGGGUAUAACCAUUUAUGUAAUUACCCAACGGGUAAACGGUUAUGCGGGUAUGAACAUAAACGGUUAUGGGUAAAAUAACCGCGGUUACCCGCCCGCAUAACCAUUGCCCAUCCCUACUUCAGCAUGGAACCAGCUUGCUUUUUCCUCAAUGCCGCCUUCGAGGCUUCGUAAAAUUGCUCUGUUUGUCAGGCCUCAUAGAUCUCAAGCUACCCGACACUCAAUUUGUACUUUCACCUUUCGAAACCAACUGCUGCUCGCUAUCUGGACCAAGCUCUGAUUUGGAAGAUGUUUCAAUCUCAAAACCCUACGGUAAGGCCUUUCAAUGUGAUCCACACCGAAAGCAUUGGCCUCUUGCAUACUUGAGCGCGUAACCAGAUGAAACUUGGUGUUUCUUGCAUGGGAUUGCAUACGAAACCCCAUUCAUUCCGACAUCAUACAAGAACUUCUACGGAGCCAUGAAAAACCACAAGGGUAUGUGUGGAGCCAAAAAUAUUCACUAGGCGAUACAUGGACUUUUGGACAAAAGAGGACAAAAAUACCCUCGAGGUAUACCGGGUUUCCUACACGCGAGCAGUGGAGAAUCAUCCAUCAACCAAGUCAGGAGUAUCCAAAAUGGGUAACAAUUCAAAACCUAUUUCAUUCCAUAUAUGUUUUUACCCCAUUUUUUCCUUAUUCAAUUAACCAUUUAUUUCAAACAUUCCAUAACAUCCUCAAUCAAUUAAAUUAUCAAUUAAAAGCCAAAAAUCACCCUAAAAGCCGUUGGUCCUUCUCCAAAAUGGGGGCCGGCCAUUCCCUUUGAUUUCCUACCACAAUUUGCCUUUUUUUACAUUGGUUAGCUAAUCUUUUCAACCAUUAUUUGAUUGAUUAGCUGAUCAUGCCAUGAAAGUCAUAAAAACAUUCCCUUUAUAUUGAUAAUUAACCAAUUAAUAUAUUAUUCUUAAUUAAUAUAUUAAUUGCUAAAUUAAGCCACCUCCUAUCCCUAUAUAUAUGCUCCCAUUUCCACCAAAAACUCAUUCCAAUUCUCUUACAAAAAAAUCACAAAUACUCUAAACACUAUUUCUCUCUAAAAUUCUAACUUUGGUAUCGGAGGUUCUUCGGCCAAAGCCCCCCCAUUCAUCGUGGGCGCGUGAGGCUUUUGGCCUUAACCUAAGGUGCUAGUUGUUUUGUAGGUGCAAAAUCGUCCAAGAUCGAGGAGGAGAAAAUUUGCAUCCACAAAUUGGUGCUUUCAUUGAGAGUUGAAAUCCAUACUCGUAGAAGACUCUCGCACAAAAAGGUUUUUUCUUUAUUUUCUAGUCCAUUUGAAUAUUUUUCAUACGUUCUUAUUAUUAGAAUUUUUUACUUGCAAAGGUUCUUUGAUAAAACGUAUAAGCAAAAUAUAAUGGCUAGAAAUUUAGAAAAUUCCACAAGUGAAAAUUCUAAUGUUCAAGAAAUGGGAUUGCGGAGAUCCGUGAGGCUAAAUGCGACAAUAAGGGGAGCGGCAUCAUCACGAGCUUCCACCAUGGGAACCACCGUGGUGGCUACCGAGGUAGCCACCCGCGGCGAGGUCCAUGGUGCCUUCACCACGGCCACCAUGGGAACCACCGCGGUGGCUACUUCGGUAGCCACUCGUGGCGAGGUCCAUGAAGCCUUCACCACGGCCCGGAGAUCCGUGAGGCAAAAUGCGACAAUAAGGGGAGCGGCAUCAUCACCACAAGCUUCUACCAUGGGAACCACCGUGGUGGCUACCUCGGUAGCCACCCGCGGCGAGGUCCAUGGUGCCUUCACCACGGCCACCAUGGGAACCACCGCGGUGGCUACUUCGGUAGCCACUCGUGGCGAGGUCCAUGGAGCCUUCACCACGGCCCGAGCCGUGCCAUCCAAGGCUCACGGUACCAAGACCACGAUCCAAGCCGUGUCAUCCAAGUUUACGUGGACCCAAGCCCAAGCCUCGCAUUCACAUGCACCGCGCAUUUAGCAGCCUGCUCCAGUGAUCCAGCAUGCUCCCGUCAAGCAACCCACUCUCACGGCUCAACCUGCUCCUGCCGAGCAGCCUGCUCUCGUGACCCAGCCUGCUCUCGACGAGCAACCCACUCUCGUGGUCCAGCCUGCUUCCAAUGAGCAACCCACUCCCGUGGCCCAGCCUGCUUUCGUCGAGCAGCCCACUUCGGUGGCCCAGCCUGCUCCUGCCAAGCAGCCCACUCCCGUGGCCCAGCCUGCUCCUACCAAGCAGCCUGCUCUCGUGACCCAGCCUGCUCCCGACGAGCAACCCACUCCCGUGGUCCAGCCUGCUUCCGUCGAGCAACCCACUUCUGUGGCCCAGCCUACUCCUGCCAAGCAGCCUGCUCUCGUGACCCAGCCUGCUCCCGACGAGCAACUCACUCCCGUGGUUCAGCCUGCUUCCGUCGAGCAGCCCACUCUCACGGCCCAACCUGCUCCUACCGAGCAGCCUGCUCUCGUGACCCAGCCUGCUCCCGACGAGCAGCCCACUCUCACGGCCCAUCAUGCUCCAGUGGCUUUCCAAGCAGCCCAAGUCGACCCAAGACUAUCUCAACCAUCCGGACCUACCAUCGAGCCGGGGGCAUUCUCACCACAUGUUUUCGUAGAUUUGACAUUUCCCAACUCAAAUCUCGCGCCCGGAGUCUACCACCUUUCCACUGCCCAAUGAGGCGUAUUCCUUCCAAGCUAUUCCAAUCCAAAUGGCGAACAACACUUGUCUCGACAAGUCAUAGAGUUGACGAGCGCCCUUGCACAACAGAAAACCUUGGUGAAUCAACUUUUGCAACGUAUCGGGAUCCAACGUGCCCCGGACGAAGUAUCCCAAAGUAGGACAAGGGCAGACGAACAUUUCCAGCAGCGUCCCGAUAAGCAGCCACUCGACCAGCCACGAGCCGAACGUUUGGGCAGUGUACAUUCCCGUCUUAGAGCGCGAAGGAGCAUGCACUCUCGACUAGGCCCACGGAGGAGCAUACAUUCACGGUUGGGGUCAUACUCCGAUGAUAGUCAACAUGAGCAAACCUUCCGGGCAAAGUGUCUAUUCGCAGCUAAGCCCACAAGGAGCGUCUUCCACCUCACAUCAGAGUAGGCAGCACGACGGACGGAGAGAAGUAGUCACUCAAUCCAGCUCAAGUUCAACCAGCAGCCUGCGAAGAACUCGCUCGCCUACUAGGAACUCACCACAUGCACUGCAUCUGCGGCAUAGACGAGCCAAACACAUGGAAGAGCAGCUUAGACCAGCAAGUCAUGACUGGGGGCAGCCGAGAGCUUUGCUACCCCAACAAAGGCAAAUUCAGGAAGAAGUAGAGAGACUCUUGACCAAGCGAUUGCAUGAUUUCCAACGCAACGAGGUCACCGACGAGGCACUACGACGGAACAUAACCAACAUAAGCAGGUCACCCUUCACGGAGGAGAUCGAGCAGGCAGAGCCUCCACGCGAGUUCAGCAUGCCACAUUUCACAUCUUUCAAAGGGGAUGAACACCCGGAGAGACACUUAAAACGUUACCAAAGCGCAAUGAUCCUUUAUCGAAACAACGAUGAUCUCAUGUGCAAGAUAUUCGCCACCACUCUACAAGGCGAGGCGCAAGAUUGGUUCUACACCCUGCCGCCACAAUCCAUCCGAAAUUUCUAUGAACUUUCUUUGGUUUUCACCAAAGAAUAUUCAUCUUAUCGCUCGAUCAAAAAGAAGUCUGACCAUUUGUUCGAAGUCAAGAAAAACCCAAAGGAAUCGCUUCGCGACUAUGUGAGGAGUUUCAAAGUAGAGAAGGCAAAAAUAGUUGGAUGCAACGACUCGAUAGCUAGAGCAGCCUUCCAAAAAGGACUUCCGGCAGACCACCCGUUAUUCGGAAAAUUGAUCAUGAAAGAGGAUCUAACUCUAGCAGACUCUUUUGCUUUGGCAGAGAAGCAUGCACUUUGGGAUGAGGCUCGCCAAUGCACAUUCAAGAACCUGAAGAAGUACCCGACAUCACCUCCCUAGAAGCAGCGGAGGGCUUAUUCGCAUGUUUGACGGUAUCUAAAGUAGCAAUAAGCUCUACCAUCAUGCGAGAAGAGCUGGGGGCCCGACUACCUAUAUUCCACAGUUUAAAAGCUCUCCUCGAUGCUAUCAGUUGUAUUCCACAGUUUAAAAGCUAUCAUUGAUGUUAUCAGAAAUUCAAAAGCUAACUUUGGCGAUUGUUGUUGUAACCUAAAAGCUUAAGUUUUACCUUCAAACGCACGCAGUCAUCCUAAUGACGUACUAUUCUGCCCAAUCCAGACGCGUGACGAUAAAGGCGUAGACCCUGGCGGAUGUAAAGUUUUCUGACGAACGCAACACUGGAAGGACACACUCGAAAGCAAGUUUUGUCCUCGUCACCCUAAAAGAUUCUACAUAGGAGCAACAUGUACCGGCAGUUGAGUACCAUUUCUUGCUGCGCAUCACACGGCCCUAGCCGACCCUUGCUCAAUGAUUCAACUCUAGAGUGGCCCAAUACCGGCAGUUGAGCAUCUCCUGUUGCGUAUGACAUGGCCCCAUCUCCACAGCUCCCUACUGCGUCUUCACGCCGAGCCUAGGUGACGCAACAGAGCGCCCAACGAUGCCUCAGAAGUAGCCGAGCACACUCUAGCUGCGCCUACUCCACCCGAUGGAGACUUCUGGCAUUUACAUGUCGACGACGCAGAAAAGCCUUCAUCACUGCCGGCAGAGAAGGCUCCAAAAAGAUGGAUCCCAUCUAGGAAGGUCCGUACAAGAUCAGCAGAGUAGGGGGCAAGAGUAAUUACACCCUCACCACCAUGAAGCGGCAAAAAGAUUGAAAAGAAAUGAAUGGCCUACAAUCUGAAGAAGUACCAUGUGUGACCUCCCGCUACAUCAAAACCCGAAGACUCAAUAAGCUCGACGGGCACCACCUCACAAGCUGAGGACUAUCCAGUUGUUAUGCAGUUCCUACCUUACAGCUAAAGUUCUCGUUCGUUUCACUCGUUUUUCAAUGAGGAAUUUAGAAGUAAUCACAACUUGGCUUGGCUGCAUGCUUACAACAACUAAUCACUCAUGCACUUCAAAAGAAGACUGCGCCCUUCUUAGGGACUCAUCGCAGGAAUUGCACCCCCCGAGGGACCAACCAUGCUCUCCAGUGCGAGAGGGUAAACCAAUUCUCCGACACCCAUAUGGGUCGGCUCUCCAAGACGGGAGGAUAAACUUUACACUCCGAAUAUCCAGACGUGGAUGAGCCUGGCUACCCUAGUAUAACUAGAUGCACGAUGGCUUGCGCCGGGAUUCCUAGAAGUAGCCGCAAUGGUCUUUUUCAAGGCUUAGCUAACUGAAGGAUUUUGGGUCUCUUGGCCUAAUCCGUGGGGGAACCGGGCCCUAGAGACGGAGAGGGCACAUUACGCAGUACAUCCGAUGGACGGCUGCCCUGGAAUCCUAAAGCUGCUACCGAGUGCACUAAGGUAGCCUACGGAUUCCGGAAGACUGCCUACGGCUUGCCCCUUCGAGCAGUGAAGCCGCACUAGACUUAUACAACCGCACAUUCUUGUGAAAGGUUAAACAAGCUAGCGCGCAUAUACGAAGUUUUAUCCACUGCCGACAUGCUACGUAGUCGAUAAGCUUCACCUCUGCCAAGCGCGGAACAACCUACACCAAGUCCUAAAGUGUUGUGAUACUUGCUACGCAACCUACGGAAUUGAAAAAAGUCAAGGUUAACAGCCUAGUGGUUACGCGGACUUGUCUGCUUCUGUAAGUAAGGCAUCCGGCUGCCAACCCAAUGGCUAACAACUUUGCAAAGUUCUACACCAACACCUACGACUGCAUAGGCUACGCGAGCUUGUCUGCUUAUAAAAAAGUAGCAUGCUUGCCACUGGUCUAUCAAGUCUAAAGGUUAGGGCAUGAACAAAAGAAGAAAAAAUGAAGAAAAACGAAGGAAAACAUGUUUAUAAACAACUAGCAAAGGCCGAAGGAGUUCAAGCAAAACAAGAGCUACAAGGAAAAACAAAGAAAAUCCUAAAGGCUACCUAAAAUACUACACUACAGCAGGUUGGACAUCCCACGACUACUUGGUCGCCACACCUUCAGUAGCCGUAACGCUCUUAGCAACGGCAUCAUCCGGUGUUUCACCCCCGGCUGCCCCAGCCUGGGCACUAACUUCUCCAACUACUUCACCAAUGGAAGCCUUAAAAGUAAAAGCAAGCAAGUCUUCCGGAGAAAUAGAGAAGCUCAUCCACUCCCUUUUUAGCAUAAGCAGCGAAACGAAGCUCAGAAACUGCAAACUUAAGAUCUUGAAUCUGAGGCGAAUCAAUCUCAGCAGCAAAGGGAGUAGGCUUUGGCGCCACUUUAGCAGCAGAGUCCACCUUACCACUCUUCAUAAUAGCAAGUCUCUACAAAGGUGAACCGGACUUGGCUCCCAACGAACGUCCUAGUACAGACUUCGGCACUGGGGCAUGAUAAAACCUUUACGUUGAGCAAUCUUAUCAACAAUUGUACUAGCCAUUCUCAACAUGGAAGACGCCACAUGCUCAGAUCUAGCAGCCUUAUUUUUCUUCCCAUUGGAAGAAGUCAUGUCAAUCACAUACCUCUCGGUAGCAGGCGGACCCUCAUGAGCAGCGGAAGAAGUCUUCAGUUUUUUCUUAACUGGCAUCUCAUGAGCAGGCAGGGAAGAUUUCUUUUUUCCAUCUUCAUUCAUAGUAAGCUCCACGACAGCGAUCAGACAAGCCAAUGCAUCCGCCUUGAUCCUCUUUACCUCUUCUUUCGGGAGCAGCCCACCUUUCUUUCAGCAAAGAGGACUAAGCAGCUAACGACAUUCAUGGUACUCAGCAUGGGAGCUCAACCCAGCAUUCCAGCAGGCAGGAGGCCUGCAUGCCCAACAUUCCAGCAGCCCAUGAGACCCGCAAUCUCCUCAUUUCUCUCAAUCGCCAGCCUGGCCCGAGUCAGGUCCAAGAGCCCAAAGGACAUGAGCCAUGCGGCUCGCCUAGCACUGCGCCCCAGCGCCACAAUCCGCGACCCUAGCUGCACAAGCUGCAUUUUGGCUCAAGCCAAACCAAGCUGCCCAAGCAGUAGUCCCUGCCACGACAUCUCCUCGGCCCAUGCCGAGCCAACUCUUGGCCCCUGUCAGCCGACGUGCCGCACCACCCCGACGGCUGCCCUGCAAUAGCACUAUCCAAGAAGAGGCAAGAAAAAUUAAAUUUUUUCUUACAUUGGUGCGGCACGGAGAAGACGAAGAAAUCAACGAAAGACGGUCUUUUGCACGGGCAAGAUGUAGAAGAUUGCUAGAGGAGGGGGAACAAAUAUCCUCUAACUUUCUCUCUCUUGUUGGGUAGAAUAAAUCGCUCUCCAAAUUUGAUUUAAUAACCCACUUAAGGUGGACUUAAAUAGGCUUUGAGAGAAAUUUAUUUCCCUUUCCUAGAAGGAUCUAAUUUCCUAUUAAAGAGAGAAUAUACAUCAAAUUAGGAAGCAGUCUUAAGUUUCCUAAAGCAAGAAGAUCUCUACACCUGCUGCCCUUUUCUGCGAGCAGCCCAACAGGUGUGGGGCAUUUGUGGAGCCAAAAAUAUUCACUAGGCGAUACAUGGACUUUUGGACAAAAGAGGACAAAAAUACCCUCGAGGUAUACCGGGUUUCCUACACGCGAGCAGUGGAGAAUCAUCCAUCAACCAAGUCAGGAGUAUCCAAAAUGGGUAACAAUUCAAAACCUAUUUCAUUCCAUAUAUGUUUUUACCCCAUUUUUUCCUUAUUCAAUUAACCAUUUAUUUCAAACAUUCCAUAACAUCCUCAAUCAAUUAAAUUAUCAAUUAAAAGCCAAAAAUCACCCUAAAAGCCGUUGGUCCUUCUCCAAAAUGGGGGCCGGCCAUUCCCUUUGAUUUCCUACCACAAUUUGCCUUUUUUUACAUUGGUUAGCUAAUCUUUCAACCAUUAUUUGAUUGAUUAGCUGAUCAUGCCAUGAAAGUCAUAAAAACAUUCCCUUUAUAUUGAUAAUUAACCAAUUAAUAUAUUAUUCUUAAUUAAUAUAUUAAUUGCUAAAUUAAGCCACCUCCUAUCCCUAUAUAUAUGCUCCCAUUUCCACCAAAAACUCAUUCCAAUUCUCUUACAAAAAAAUCACAAAUACUCUAAACACUAUUUCUCUCUAAAAUUCUAACUUUGGCAUCGGAGGUUCUUCGGCCAAAGCCCCCCCAUUCAUCGUGGGCGCGUGAGGCUUUUGGCCUUAACCUAAGGUGCUAGUUGUUUUGUAGGUGCAAAAUCGUCCAAGAUCGAGGAGGAGAAAAUUUGCAUCCACAGUAUGCAUGGACUGAAAAAGUUAUUAAGGUUGUUGAAGAGGUAAGGAUUUUCCCUAGUUACGCUCACCAUGUCGCUACCAGUGACCAUGUUGGAGAAGUACUCAAGAGGAUUUACAUGAUCCCCGAUGAUCGCUUCACAUUAUUCUUAACGGGGUUGAUGAGGAGGUUUUCAAGCGGGACAUUGCCUUGAGAAAGGAUUUUAGGAGAAAGUUUGGGGUGCUGGAAUCUAAGACUAGUUCUGGGAAUGGCUGGGAGGUUGGUGAGGGAUGAAGGGCAUCCGCUGAUGUUCGAAGCGUUGAAGCAAAUUCUCAGAGAAAAUGAUGCGUUUAGGCAAACUGUUGUUGUUCUGGUUGCCGGGAAUGGUCCUUGGGGUGCAAGGUACAGAGAUCUUGGAAUGAAUAUACUUGUUUUGGGACCACUGGAACAAGCUCAGCUUACUGAGUUCUACAACGCAAUUGAGCAAUUGAUAUUUUCGUGAACCCAACUCCUCUCGUCAGGUAUUGCAUCAUACAUUGUUGGAAACAAUGCUCUCAGGGAAGCCAGUUAUGGCAACAAAGCUUGCCAGCAUUACAGGCUCUGUCGUUGUUGGCAAAGAACAGUAGCGUCACUAAAGAAGAUCCUCUAUAGAGUUUGGAGUGAUGGCAGAAGAGAUUUGAAGCAGAAAGGCCGGGCAGCAAGACAGAGAGGAUUGCAGUUGUUCACUGCAAAGAAAAUGGUGGCUGCUUACGAAAGGCUUUUCCUCUGCAUAUCCAAUGAUGAGAAAAUUGGGGAGAACUAUUGUCAAUUUCAGAUUCCAUGACAGUAACUUAGCAGAUGACUAAUACUUAUAUAGCCCCCGAUUGCGGCAUCAUCUUGUCACCGAAAUUUCAGUGUUAGAAACAAAGCUUUUCUAACAAGGAACCGGCAUAAGGAUAAAAGGCUAGAUAGCUGUACCUUAUACAUUCUGUGUUGAAGUUAAGGAACCGGCAUAAGGAUAAAAGGCCAGAUAGCGGUACCUUAUACAUUCUGUGUUGAAGUUGUAAGUAUCUUUGACAAUUUGGAUAUACAAACUGGCUGAUUGGCCAGGAAUCUUGUGACAGUUGUUCUCUGCUAAAAUUCCAUGCAUCAUCUAAAUCUUUCGAACGAACAAGGUUCGAGCUUUGCUUGGCCAGCAACUAUGAGCACUUUUAAUCUAAUGGAAAUGCAUUACUCUUAACAAACCGUAAACGCAUCAUAAUACAAAACACAUUGCAUAAGAAACCGUAGUCACUUCAAGCAUAUAUGUUCACAAUGAAAGAGCAACGGGCUCAUAUCAUUCGCCCGUGAGUCCUCCACAGGCUUUAAUUUAACAGGGUAAACAACUUUCAAACUACACACAGAAACAUAGUUCGGCGGAGAGUAGUAAGAACAUUACAUUUUCGGAAACCAUCUUCUUGAUAAAAAGUCCAAUGGAACAGUUGACCAUACCGACAUAAAAGCUUGCACUUCCUGUCCAGCGUCUUUAGCAGCCAAUGCGCACAUCAGCCACUUAUUUAUAUUACACUUCCAUACUUAAAACCCCAGGCCUAGUGAAUUCCUGCAAAACAUAAAAUCUUCUUAGAUCAGCUCCUUGCGUGAUAUCUUUACAGUAUGCCAGGCUUCAUGAAUUCGUAUAAAUUGAAAAGAGUAAAAUAUAUUGUGACUAUUUAUCUUGUGAAAGGGAGAAAAAUCAAUGCUAAGAGACGUUCUGAUCUGUUAAAGUGUUGAAAUAAUAAGAGAAUUUAUUUCGAGAAAUUGAUCUAAGAGUGAAUGAAUGUACCUUGAAAAUAGAUGAAGAAUUCAUAUGGCCAGUGAAGGGGAAGUCCUAAUAAUAGAGCGAACCUGCAGAAACGCAAGUCAGAAGUUCAUACGCUGAUCUCCUCUUCAAUGUAGCUCUAAAUUAUUAAUACUACUAAUUUCAUCUCCAAUAUCAGUACCUUGCCACCAAUUUCCUCGGGCGGCACUGUUCGAGUUGGUUCCAUUUGGAUCAUCUUCUCCCGCAUCUUUCUUGAACUAAUUCAGUCAGAGUAACAAACAGAAUCAGUUUUUCAUAUCCUUUUAUCCGUUAAUCAUGUUGAUAGCGUUAAUACUACAGUACAAGUCUGUAUAUUAUGUGAUCAACUCAUCAAGACUCACUAUAGGAUAGGAUCCAGAGGCAUGGGUCCUUGGGGACUGGGAAUACACCUCUUGCCCACCAUAGUAAAUAGAUGAACUUAGAUAACAUGGUUCUGCUCUUUCUUCCUGAAGGACUGAACUCCGGUCCUUGUUGGGUACGCUAUAGCGUGCACCUUCGCUACUUAUAGCUAUAUAGUUCGAGAAAAAGGCAAAGGCCGAGGCAAUAAACUUUAAAAACAAAGAUCAAUAUCUAACAUCAAGAGGUUGUAGAGAAUUGCAAAAGCAACAUACGAUAAUCUAUAUACAUAUACAUAAAGAAAGCGUUAAAGGUUAAACAUUCAAAAAUCCAUUAAAUGCCCUUUUUGUUAAUGAAAAUGCUAAAAGAGAAAACACUUCAUUAUAUAUGGAUAUAAUAUCACAUUAACAAACUCUUAAAUUGAAAAAUGAAAACAAAAAUAUGUCCAGAAAGUGUCGAAAAGAAUUAGGCAGGGAAUCUGAUGACGAUGGAACAUAAUCGUAGCAGAGAUUAAACAGUACAGUUCUAAUAACUUAAACUUCUAUCAAAGUAGAAAUGUUGCCUAUCAAACAAGAUUUCUUCCAGUUAGGAGUAAUACAAGAAAUUCUACAUUAAUUAGGCAUAAAUGAUCCAAUAAAGUUCGUUAGUCGGAAACUUUGGACAUGGUAGAACAGAAAACAAAGAAACUAAAAUCAACAUGAUACAAACCUGCAGUACCUUGCUUGGUGUUCCGUGCAUGAUUUCUCAAGGACUGCUGCUGCCAAUAUUCUGUCAGCUCAGAGAUUGAAGAGUUCCUCCCAACCACCUUAAAAUUAAAUCAGGUAAAAAAUGUCAGAUACUAGAGCAUAUAUUCAACAGAAGAUCUAGUAGUGGCCAAAGACACUUUCAGUGGACGGAACACUAACAAGCAGAGGUGUACAAUGGGCCGGACCGGCCUGGAUCCUUCAAAAGACCAGCCCGCUUAAGGACGGCCAUUUGUACACCUCUAUUCACAAGCCCCUCACUUUUCCAACCACUAAGCUAGAGAAUAAUGCUAUACAAAGAGCUAUGAGCACUACGAGGAAAAAUAGUGCUUUUUUCUUUUGGGUUAUCAGCUUUCCCCCUUCUUACAAAAACUAACCAACAAAUCCACUAGGAACCCAAAUCAUGUUUUGCUUAAACAAACCAAAAAAACUUUUUCAUUUCCCCUUUUGGUAUUUCUCUGCAAUAUUUCACAUUUCCUUUCUAAGCAAUUUUCAAUUCACUAUUAUACAUAAAGUCCAGAAAUUAUAUAAAAAAUUAUAACAAGAAGCAUAUAUAUGCACCCAAUGAAUAAAGUUCAUCCUCUGCUUUCAAUUUUAAAUCAACCCUGAAUCCUCCUCGGGCUUACGCAAAUUAAGUGGAGCAGUGUGCCCUUAGUAUUCAAAUUUGAAUCUCCCUUUCCGUAUUGCUCAAGUUAAAAAAAAAAAAAAAACAGAAAGCAUAAAUAUGAACGCAGUAGAAGAAUCAUAACUACCUGUGAUGGAGGUGGGAAAAUGGAAGCAAAAAUCCCAGUAGAAGACUUGGGAGGAGAUUCCUUGGUACCAAAAAGAUCAGCAGUCAAUGAGGAACCUGAAUUGCCCGGCUUCUUAUUGUUACUCUCCAUUUUUUACUUCCUCUCUUUCUCUAAGUCAACCAGAAGAGCCAACUCCAGAAUAAAAAAGCACUUUCCAAAAAAGCAGCUUCCAAGAGAAAAACCCAGUUGAAGAAACAAAGCAGGUAAGAUUUGCAGAGGAAGAAAGAAAUCAGACAGAAAGUUGAGAGAGAGCACGGGGUGAAGAUGAUGACACACAGAGUAUCCAAAACUCAAAAUUUAUAUAGGCACUUGCUGUAUAAAAGAUGGUACUGCAUGUAGUGCCGCUCAUGUGCCAUCUUCACCCAAAGAAAAACAAACGCUCUUCUGUUUUCAUGCAACCAAAGAUUUGUUUCUCCUCAUCAAAAAAGAUUUGGAACUUGCCCUUCUGUUUUCCUCACUAUAAUCAUCUUUUUUUUUUUUUGGUUGAACACUAUAAUCAUCUUUUCCCCACAAACAUAAUGGAUAGGUGCCACGUGGGCUCCACUCCUUUUGCCAAGUGGAUGUACAGUAGUGCCAUAUUAUUUUGAGAGAGAUCAAAAUUUUAAACCAAAUUGCGUGUCACCAAUAGGAAAUAAGCAUGUGAAUCAACAUUUAACUAAUAAUUCAAUCAUCAACAACCAUAUCAUUUGAUUUAAAAUAUAAAUCGAAUUCAGAACUUUCAUACUAACGAUGACAAUUUCUGUAUUGAUACUGUGGGGUAUCUUCAUCUCAUCUCUCUCGAGCACUCUAGGCCUGGACUCGACUUUUAAUUCCUCUCGCCCAUUGGCCCCCAUUGUUUGAUCAUAUUCUGUGGGAUGUAUGAGUUGAUGACUUCAAGUGAGGGAUAGGAGAAAUGAAUCUCUGAAAGCUUCUGUUCCCACCAAGUGGAUAAUCAGAUAAGCUUUGCUUUGUCCGAUAUGCUUCAUGGUCCAACAUUCUCUUGCUAUUGAUAUCAAGGCACGAUUCAUGAGUAAACCCACCAGUGUUAUGUAGGACCAUAGCUCUUGAACAUGUAGAAAACUUAGAUAAAACUUGUGGUGUUAUAAGUGCAAAUCGGAGCAUAUUAUGUACUGGAAUCUUUGGCAGUUGAAUUUGAAUCUUCACACUCAAUUACGUAAAAACUUUAAAGUAGAUGCUCAUAUAUCAGAACAAAUUAUCCACUUGCUGCGUCCAACCUCCACACAAGCUUCCAUCUGACGUUCUUAUGAGGAUUGGAAUCAAUACCCUGAGAUGUCAUGAAUAGGAAAAAGGCAGAUUGUGUGAACAUGGUAUUAUGAAUGUAAUUUUGUUUGGAUAUGGGUUUUGGUUUGAAGUGGGACUUGUUGUACUAAGUGGGAUGCUUACGACAAAGUUGGUACAAUUAUUUGGUUUGAAAGAAUAUGUAUGGGUUUUGGUGAUUCAUUUUAAAGCUGGAUGUGUCACUUUUGCUUACUAUAUAGGUCAGUUGGAUUUCUUCAAUAAAAAAUUCCCAUGCUUUGGUCUUUAGUGUGAAAAAUACGUUCGAGUUGUAGUAUGAAUUUAGUGAGGGAAGAAAGAGGAAGAUCGGUCAGAGAGAAGAGAAUUGCUUGAGGAAUUCUUGAGUGUGAUAUUCUUUUGUAUCUUUAUUUAUAUUAACAAGGGAGAGAGAACCUUGUUUCCUAAGUAAUACAAGUUGUACGAGGAAAUAUCUUCUCAAUCUCUUCGUAAUGAUCCCAAAUCAGUUGUUAUUGUCUACUUGAAAGAUUGGCUUCAGGCAAAUAUGGUUUCCUCCAUAAAGCCCCUUCGAACACACGCUUUUCUUCAUUGGGAACCUCCUCUUGAGGGUUGGGCAAAGCUUAAUGUUAAUGGUGUCGCAAGGGGGUGGCCAAUUUCAUUGGUGUUGGUGAUGUCCUUAGAACGCAUUGGGGACAUGGGCCUUUAGUUUUUGUGCUAAUCUUGGUCGAGGUGAGAUUUUAAGUGCUGAAGUUUGAGGUGUUUUUAUUGGGUCGCAGCUUGUGUAGACUAAUGGAAUUAAGAAGAUUAUAGUUGAAUCGGAUGCUGCACUUGCCCUACAAUUGAUUUUAAAUGCAUAAAUAGAUAAUCACCUUAUGAGAAGUUUGGUAUUGAAUUGUCAUGCACUUAUGCACCAAGUUGGUCUUGUGAAAUUUGACGUAUUUACCAUGAAAAUAAUUUUGUUGAUGAUGAUUUGGCUUGUUUGGGUUUGUCAUGCAAUUUGGGUUCGGUCUUUAUUGAGCAAGCUCAUCCUUCUUGUCAUCGGUCGUGGAUAUAACUGGAGUUUCGUGGCCUCGUAAUAUGUUUAUAGUUUUUCCUUUUCUUUCAGAUUUAUGCCCCGUUUUCAACAAAAAAAAUAAA